AGUGAACGCUGGCGGUAGGCCUAACACAUGCCAGUCGAACGGCAGCACAGUAAGAGCUUGCUCUUACGGGUGGCGAGUGGCGGACGGGUGAGGAAUACAUCGGAAUCUACUUUUUCGUGGGGGAUAACGUAGGGAAACUUACGCUAAUACCGCAUACGACCUACGGGUGAAAGCAGGGGAUCUUCGGACCUUGCGCGAUUGAAUGCGCCGAUGUCGGAUUAGCUAGUUGGCGGGGUAAAGGCCCACCAAGGCGACGAUCCGUAGCUGGUCUGAGAGGAUGAUCAGCCACACUGGAACUGAGACACGGUCCAGACUCCUACGGGAGGCAGCAGUGGGGAAUAUUGGACAAUGGGCGCAAGCCUGAUCCAGCCAUACCGCGUGGGUGAAGAAGGCCUUCGGGUUGUAAAGCCCUUUUGUUGGGAAAGAAAAGCAGCAGGUUAAUACCCCGCUGUUCUGACGGUACCCAAAGAAUAAGCACCGGCUAACUUCGUG
rnacentral:rRNA from 1 species